UACGUAGGUGGCAAGCGUUGUCCGGAAUUAUUGGGCGUAAAGCGUGCGCAGGCGGUUGUGUAAGACAGAUGUGAAAUCCCCGGGCUCAGCCUGGGAACUGCAUUUGUGACUGCACAGCUGGAGUGCGGCAGAGGGGGAUGGAAUUCCGCGUGUAGCAGUGAAAUGCGUAGAUAUGCGGAGGAACACCGAUGGCGAAGGCAAUCCCCUGGGCCUGCACUGACGCUCAUGCACGAAAGCGUGGGGAGCAAACAGG
rnacentral:rRNA from 1 species